GCACAGGACUUGCGUCACUUCCCCUCGCCCGGCUGGUGCGCACGUGAGGCCCCGCGCGUACCCAGGGGCCCGCGGGGGGGCGUGACCCGGAACGGAACGCGGCGGGGGUGGGGCUUACAGGGGCGUGGGGGCGGGGUUGCGCUUCCGGCGCGCCGAAAGCGCCUCUGGCUCACGUGGAGGGCUGUGGGCGAGCUCCAGGGCUCCUGGAAAGCGAGCCGCUGGUGCUGCAAGCGCGGUUGCGAGGACGCAUAAGCAGCCCGGUGCUUACACUUGGGCUUAGGCGCGCGGGCGACGUGCGCUCACGCUCUGGAGCGCGACCCGGUUGGUUGAGCAGCGUUUCCCGGGACACGCUGUGCACAUGCCCAACCUAGCCCGUCCACGGGGGGCCGUGUGCGCCAGUCGGAGGCCCGCUGGAGGGUUCGCGAGACGAUGAACGCAACGCACGCUCCGACUGGAGAGAGCGCGAGCGUCACCGCGCACACAGCCAGGCGCUCGAGGAGGGGGUCCCCAGGAGAUGAGGUGCGCAUGCGCAGACGCCAGGCCUCCCGCGUGCGGGCCACGUGCUCAGGUUCCAGUCUGCGCAUGCUCAGACGGGAGGCGGCGCCCAGCGGCGGUUGAAGCGCUUGGGUGGCGUUGGUUCUUCCGACAAGAUGCUGGUGUUGAUGCUGGUGGCGGCGACGACCCUGCAGCCCUGCUUGUUUGCCAGCGCUCGGCAGCUGUGCCGUACUCACAUGGUGAGGACAGGAAAGGUGUUUCAUGUCAGACAGCAAAUUCAAGGGGACCAACUGUAUUUUUCGUCUAUGACAUCACACUUGAUUAAGCAUCCUUGCAAGAAAAACAUAGCCCUGUAUCUAGGGUAAGUGACCAUUUUAUGUACUGUUACCUUCCCUUUUAUUAAAGCAUUAGAUUUGCCCUCAUUCAUUCAACAGACAUUAAGGAAGGUGGCUCUGUCCUGGGUUGCUGCUUGUUGGCCUGUAGGGAGUUCAUAGUCAAGGUGGGGGUCAGAGGAAGGGAAAUGAAGAAACCAGCAAAUAAAAUCACGAGUGAAUAGUAUGGUACCACCUGUCACAGAUCCUGGAUAUAAUUAAUCAUUGUGGAAGCAGGGGCAGGGGGCAUUCAAAGGACUGGGAACACCAUGCCCAGGGUGCACUUGGGAUCAUCACUGUGCAAGGGGUAGAACAACAGGUGUGCAAACCAUACUGAAAUGUUCACUCCUUAAAAGUAAAAAAAAUAAAAAAAAACAAAAACAAAAAAAAAAAAAAAAAAAAAAAAAAAAUAAAAGGUGGAGGGUUUGGGGCCACACAGUUUGUGUUCAGGAGGAUUUCAAAAGCCCAGGCCAAAACAAAAACAAAACAACAUGCUAAAACCUAAACAAGAACAACAAAAAACAGGGAUCCCUGGGUGGCGCAGCGGUUUGGCGCCUGCCUUUGGCCCAGGGCGCGAUCCUGGAGACCCGGGAUCGGAUCCCACGUCGGGCUCACCGUGCAUGGAGCCUGGCUUCUCCUCCUGGCCUGUGUCUCUGCCUCCCUCUCUCUCUCUGUGACUAUCAUAAAUAAAUAAAAAUUUAAAAAAAAAAAAAAAAAAAAAGAACAACAAAAAACCGGGAUCCCUGGGUGGCGCAGCAGUUUGGCGCCUGCCUUUGGCCCAGGGCGCGAUCCUGGAGACCCACGACCGAAUCCCACGUCGGGCUCCCGGUGCAUGGAGCCUGCUUCUCCCUCUGCCGGUGUCUCUGCCUCUCUCUCUCUCUGUGUGUGUGACUAGCAUAAAUAUUUAAAAAUUUAAAAAAAAAAAAGAACAACAAAAAGCCAACACCCCCCCACCCCCCAAAGAAAAAGCCUAAACAGAAGGCAAGGCCAUACAGAAGAGCAGGAGGGAGCUUAGCAGGACUUGUCAAUUCUCCUGAGGUGUGGAGGAUGGAGGUGAGCAAGCAGUUUACGAUGGCUCUCAAAUUUCUGGUGGAAGGAACGUGGGAGGGAGGGGGGCGAGAGGUGGCAGCUUGUGAUGGCUUGCUGCCUGCAAGACACCGAGGACACAGGAGGCCAGAGACGGGAACACAAGGUCAUCAUCUGUACGUCAGUGGUGGUUCUGGCUGUGGGCAGUCACACAGGGAUCACAUGUUCAGCAGCCAUAGGUUCUGGUGAAUCUUGAUUUUUAUACAGCAGGUGGGAGAAGAGAAAGAGAAAUUGGAAAGCAGGAGACCUAGAAGCUGAGGAGGGCAGGAGCCCGGGAGGAGGGAUGUCACAGAAAAGGCAGGACACAUGGGUGGGGAAGCAGCCAACAAAGCAGUGGGGCAGAUGGGAGAGAGAGCAGGGACACGGAGGUCCCAAGGCUUAUGUCACUCUCUCCAGAAGCCAAGACAUUCCAGUUCCUGCCACAAUGUGGAUGAACCUGGAGGAUAUUAUGCUCAUUUGAAAUAAGCCAGACCCAGAAGGACACCUCCUAUGUGACUCCACUCCCAGGAAGUCCCCAGAGGAGGCCCGUCCACAGAGACAGACAAGAGAUGGUGGGAGCCGGGGGUGGGGCAGGGGGCAAAGGGUGAGUACUUUUCUGGAGGCAGGGGUCUAUGGGAUAGGGAGAUGAACGGUUCUGGGCGACACUUGGGGGUUUUUUUUGGGGGGGUGAGGGGGGGUCCGUGCACGGCGGGUGUUUCAUGUCACCAAAUGGACACUUUAAAAAUGAUUAUAAUGAUGUAUUUUAUGAAUUUUUUCACAAAUUGUGAAAUACACACUUUAUAUUGUGUAUAGUU
rnacentral:lncRNA from 1 species